rnacentral:rRNA from 1 species
UACGAAGGGGGCUAGCGUUGUUCGGAAUUACUGGGCGUAAAGGGCGCGUAGGCGGUCCUGAUCGUCGGAUGUGAAAGGCCUGGGCUCAACCUGGGAAUGGCAUCCGAUACGGCGGGACUGGAGUGUGGGAGAGGUUGGUGGAAUUCCCAGUGUAGAGGUGAAAUUCGUAGAUAUUGGGAAGAACACCGGUGGCGAAGGCGGCCAACUGGACCACAACUGACGCUGAGGCGCGAAAGCGUGGGGAGCGAACAGG